rnacentral:rRNA from 1 species
UAGGGAAUCUUCGGCAAUGGGGGGAACCCUGACCGAGCAACGCCGCGUGAGUGAAGAAGGUUUUCGGAUCGUAAAGCUCUGUUGUUAAGGAAGAACGAGUGUGAGAAUGGAAAGUUCAUGCUGUGACGGUACUUAACCAGAAAGGGACGGCUAACUACGUGCCAGCAGCCGCGGUAAUACGUAGGUCCCGAGCGUUGUCCGGAUUUAUUGGGCGUAAAGCGAGCGCAGGCGGUUAGAAAAGUCUGAAGUGAAAGGCAGUGGCUCAACCAUUGUAGGCUUUGGAAACUGUUUAACUUGAGUGCAGAAGGGGAGAGUGGAAUUCCAUGUGUAGCGGUGAACUGCGAAGAUAUAUGGAGGAACACCGGUGGCGAAAGCGGCUCUCUGGUCUGUAACUGACGCUGAGGCUCGAAAGCGUGGGGAGCGAACAGG